GAUGAACGCUGGCGGCGUGCCUAAUACAUGCAAGUCGAGCGAACAGACGAGGAGCUUGCUCCUCUGACGUUAGCGGCGGACGGGUGAGUAACACGUGGAUAACCUACCUAUAAGACUGGGAUAACUACGGGAAACCGGAGCUAAUACCGGAUAAUAUAUUGAACCGCAUGGUUCAAUAGUGAAAGACGGUUUUGCUGUCACUUAUAGAUGGAUCCGCGCCGCAUUAGCUAGUUGGUAAGGUAACGGCUUACCAAGGCAACGAUGCGUAGCCGACCUGAGAGGGUGAUCGGCCACACUGGAACUGAGACACGGUCCAGACUCCUACGGGAGGCAGCAGUAGGGAAUCUUCCGCAAUGGGCGAAAGCCUGACGGAGCAACGCCGCGCGAGUGAUGAAGGUCUUCGGAUCGUAAAACUCUGUUAUUAGGGAAGAACAAAUGUGUAAGUAACUAUGCACGUCUUGACGGUACCUAAUCAGAAAGCCACGGCUAACUACGUG
rnacentral:rRNA from 1 species